rnacentral:rRNA from 1 species
AUUGAACGCUGGCGGCAGGCCUAACACAUGCAAGUCGAACGAGUGGCGGACGGGUGAGUAAUGUCUGGGAACCUGCCCGAUGGAGGGGGAUAACUACUGGAAACGGUAGCUAAUACCGCAUACCAUCGGAUGUUCCCAGAUGGGAUUGGCUUGUAGGUGAGGUAACGGCUCACCUAGGCGACGAUCCCUAGCUGGUCUGAGAGGAUGACCAGCAAAAUGGGAACUGAGACACGUUCCAGACUCCUAGGGGAGGCAGCAGUGGGGAAUAGUGCACAAUGGGCGCAAGCCGGAUGCAGCAAGGCGGAGUGUAUGAAGAAGGCCUUCGGGUUGUAAAGUACUUUCAGCGGGGAGGCGUUACCCGCAGAAGAAGCACCGGCUAACUCCGUGCCAGCCGCCGCGGUAAUAC